UGACCUCAAAUCGGGUAGGACUACCCGCUGAACUUAAGCAUAUCAAUAAGCGGAGGAAAAGAAACUAACAAGGAUUCCCCUAGUAACUGCGAGUGAAGCGGGAAAAGCUCAAAUUUGAAAUCUGGCGGUUUUGGCCGUCCGAGU
rnacentral:rRNA from 1 species